rnacentral:rRNA from 1 species
GACGAACGCUGGCGGCGUGCCUAAUACAUGCAAGUCGAACGAACUCUAGUAUUGAUUGGUGCUUGCAUCAUGAUUUACAUUUGAGUGAGUGGCGAACUGGUGAGUAACACGUGGGAAACCUGCCCAGAAGCGGGGGAUAACACCUGGAAACAGAUGCUAAUACCGCAUAACAACUUGGACCGCAUGGUCCGAGCUUGAAAGGUGGCUUCGGCUAUCU